rnacentral:rRNA from 1 species
UGCCCGCCGCCGCGGUAAGACGGAGGGGGCUAGCGUUGUUCGGAAUUACUGGGCGUAAAGCGUACGUAGGCGGCAAUGUAAGUUGGAAGUGAAAGCCCGAGGCUCAACCUCGGAACUGCUUUCAAAACUGCAUAGCUAGAGUAUGGUAGGGGGUGAUGGAAUUCCUAGUGUAGAGGUGAAAUUCUUAGAUAUUAGGAGGAACACCGGUGGCGAAGGCGGUCACCUGGGCCAAAACUGACGCUGAUGUACGAAAGCGUGGGGAGCAAACAGGAUUAGAUA